UACGAAGGUGCAAGCGUUACUCGGAAUUACUGGGCGUAAAGCGUGCGUAGGUGGUGAGUUAAGUCUGUCGUGAAAGCCCCGGGCUCAACCUGGGAAUGGCGAUGGAUACUGGCUCGCUAGAGUGCGGUAGAGGAGAGUGGAAUUCCCGGUGUAGCAGUGAAAUGCGUAGAGAUCGGGAGGAACAUCAGUUGCGAAGGCGGCUCUCUGGACCAGCACUGACACUGAGGCACGGAAAGCGUGGGGGAGCAAACAGG
rnacentral:rRNA from 1 species